GCGUCUGGACUUCUUUGAGUUGCUUGAAGACGUUUCACCUCUCAUCCGAGAAGCUUCUUCAGUUCUAAGGUCAAAUGGCCGAGGGUCCCAGAUUUAAACCCAGUGGGAGUAUCCCCCCCAAAGAGGGACAAAGGACCCCCUGGUGAUCCUCUAAUCACAUGAGCCAAGGUGUGAGAAAGCGGGUGUGGUACCUAAUCAGCCAGGGUUUCGGGUGAGCCCAUUGUGAAACCUGGCCCCACCUUGUCAUGUGAAUUCCUGAGGUCAGAUGGCCCAGGAUGUGAGUGGGCGUUAAGGCGUCUGGGGAGGGAACUCAAAACUGGAUUAUAGAUGGCAGACAGUUGGUGUCGUAGACCACCACCUCUGUUCAAAGAUGGUCGCUCACAGUGGACAUAGAUGGCCUCUUUCACUCCUCUUUCAAACCAUCUGUCCUCUCUGUCCAAAAUGUGAACAUUGGCAUCCUCGAAAGAGUGACCUUUAUCCUUAAGAUGCAGGUGGACUGCUGAGUCUUGUCCUGUGGAGGUGGCUCUUCUAUGUUGUGCCAUGCGCUUGUGAAGUGGCUGUUUGGUCUCUCUAAUGUAGAGGUCUGGGCAUUCCUCGCUGCACUGUACAGCAUACACCACGUUGUUAAGUCUGUGUUUUGGAGUUUUGUCUUUCGGGUGAACCAGUUUGUGUCUGAGUGUGUUGCUGGGUCUGAAGUACACUGGGAUGUCGUGCUUGGAGAAAACUCUCCUGAGUUUCUCUGAUACACCGGCUACAUAGGGGAUGACAACGUUGUUGCGUCUGUCUUUCUUAUCCUCCCUCGCUGGUGUCUGAUCUUCUUUUCUGUGCCUCUUUGCUGACUUUAUAAACGCCCAGUUAGGAUAACCGCAUGUUUUGAGUGCUUCCUUUACGUGUGUGUGUUCCUUCUUUUUUCCCUCAGGCUUAGAGGGAACAAGUUCUGCCCGGUGGUGCUGAAGAAGCUUCUCGGAUGAGAGGUGAAACGUCUUAAAGCAACUCAAAGAAGUCCAGACGCUUUUUUUAUUUCUAAACAAUAUUGUCACAAACUUUUCUCCAGCUAACAUCCUGCCCUGACUUUUUAUGCUCACUUUUAUUACUCUGUGUUAAGCAAAGGGUAAAGGUCUUUGUAUGCUCCGAAUGGGAGGAGGCACUUUUGCUAAGAGGUUUGCUUGUACUUCCUGCUUCCUCUAAAGGCUUGUUUCCCGACUUCGCAGCCAAUAUUCAGACUGAUUUUUUUUCUCAAGAGGAUUUGUUUACGUUUUUCUUCUUCUCUGAGAGAUGCUCUUGAGAAGCAUCAGUGUUGUGCUGAUUGUCCUGUCAGUCCUGGAGCUCUGCAUCACCAUCAGCUCUUCCAUCCUGGGGAUCAAAUCUCUGAGGAGGAAGGACAAGGGAAAAAAUGAGAGCACUGAUGACUCAGAGUCGACCAAACCACUGCUGGAGGAAGUCACUGCACAGGCUGUAGCCUAAAUGUCUUUGUUCAGUUACCAGGAAUCAUGUUCCUGUGCCUUUAUGACCUACAACUAACUUGAUGUCUUGAUGAUUUAUACUAAUUAAGACUUUGUCUUCCUAAGUGCUUCUUGAAAGGAAGACAUUAUACCAAAUUGAAUCAAUUGAUAAUAUCGUUGUUGUGUUGAUUAAAAUUUAAGUUGAGAUAAGUGCCUUAAGUUUGUUGGUAAAAAUGUGUUUAUUCUUGAGAAAUAUGGGGUUAUUUUCUUUGCCAUUCUACAAUGUAUAGUGACAAUAUUAAAAAAGUUAGAAAAGAAUAUAAAUAAAAAAAAUACUGACAGUUAAAAGCAGAUAUUACACUUAUAUUGACAUAUUUUUGUAGGCUAUUUGUGAAAUGUCAGAAUAAAGAGAGAACUGUUAUGUAUUUUUUAUUGCUUUCAUUAAAGUCAGAAGUAUACAUAUACUUCCUUAGUAUUUGGUAGAAUUGCCCCGUUACUGUUUCACUUGGGCCAAAUGUUUCAGAUAUCCUUCCACCAGCUUUCUAC
ensembl:lncRNA